GGGCCCGCACAAGCGGUGGAGUAUGUGGUUUAAUUCGAUGCAACGCGAAGAACCUUACCAGGGUUUGACAUCCUGCGAAUCUCUUGGAAACAGGAGAGUGCCUUCGGGAACGCAGUGACAGGUGGUGCAUGGCUGUCGUCAGCUCGUGUCGUGAGAUGUUGGGUUAAGUCCCGCAACGAGCGCAACCCACGUCUUUAGUUGCCACCAUUUAGUUGGGCACUUUAAAAGAACUGCCAGUGAUAAGCUGGAGGAAGGUGGGGAUGACGUCAAGUCCUCAUGGCCCUUAUGUCGUUGGGCUACACACGUGCUACAAUGGCACUUACAAUGGGAAUGCAAAGAGGUGACUCUAAGCUAAUCCCAUAAACCGUGGCUCAGUUCAGAUCGUAGGCUGCAACUCGCCUACGUGAAGGCGGAAUCGCUAGUAAUCGC
rnacentral:rRNA from 1 species